GGGGUCGUGGCAGACAAGUAAUGCACCUGCUUUGCAAGCCGGUUGAUGUGGGCGCGCUACCCACCGACUCCACCA
rnacentral:tRNA from 1 species